AUUGUAUCCUCUAUUUCUUUUCUAUGAGCUGCAAUUAGGGCCUCUUCUUCCUCAAGUAUGGCAUCGAUAUUCCCAUCUGAAGGAGGAUCAGGCUCAUGCUGUCGCAAUCCAGUAUUGUAGUUUCCUGUAUUCAGCUGCCUAGAGUUUGCAGAAGGAAGAUCAGAACCAUUGUUAUCCUUUUUCAACCAGUUGCCAAGCUUUUCCGAUUUUUCCUCCCUAGGUCCUUUCCUACGAGGUGGUGACACCUUUUGCAUCUUCUCUUCUGUAUCCACAGAGUUUUGGGAGCAUGGUGACUGGACUUUUUGACUUGUGGAACCACAAUAAGAAUUACUAAUUUCAAUCUUCUCCCUAUCCACAGAGCCAGAAGACCCACUUUCUUCUCGUCCACUCAAGGGAUAACUUGAAGAAAAACUUGAGGGCUGUUUGUCAAAAUCAGUAGUAGGAUUGUAAGAAAAAGUUUCUUUUUCUACCACCUUUCUACCUGUAUCCACUGCUUUCACCUCUUGUUUUUCAAAAACAUCAUCUACAUCAGCAGGCAAAGAUGAUGCUGAUGAUACAUCCUU
rnacentral:misc_RNA from 1 species